rnacentral:rRNA from 1 species
UGCCAGCCGCCGCGGUAAUACGGAGGGUGCAAGCGUUGUUCGGAAUUAUUGGGCGUAAAGCGCGUGUAGGCGGUUCGUUAAGUCUGAUGUGAAAGCCCGGGGCUCAACCCCGGAAGUGCAUUGGAAACUGGCGAACUUGAGUACGGGAGAGGAAAGUGGAAUUCCAUGUGUAGCGGUAAAAUGCGUAAAUAUAUGGAGGAACACCAGUGGCGAAGGCGGCUCACUGGCUCGAUACUGACGCUGAGGUGCGAAAGCGUGGGGAGCAAACAGGAUUAGAUA